rnacentral:tRNA from 1 species
AAAUUUUCAGUAAAAAGAAAAUCCGUCGAUUUGAAAAAUCAUGAGGGUUCAAGUCCCUCUAUCCCCCA